UACGUAGGGUGCAAGCAUUGUCCGGAAUUAUUGGGCGUAAAGAGCUCGUAGGCGGCUUGUCACGUCGAUUGUGAAAGCCCGAGGCUUAACCUCGGGUCUGCAGUCGAUACGGGCAGACUAGAGUGCGGUAGGGGAGAUUGGAAUUCCUGGUGUAGCGGUGGAAUGCGCAGAUAUCAGGAGGAACACCGAUGGCGAAGGCAGAUCUCUGGGCCACUACUGACGCUGAGAAGCGAAAGCAUGGGGAGCGAACAGG
rnacentral:rRNA from 1 species